ensembl:lncRNA
AUAUAUAUAUAUAUAUAUAUAUACAAAUGUUAAAUAAUGUUCAUAUUUGAAAGAAAGGUCGCUGUGACAGUACUUUUGUAAAUUUUCCAGAAGUUGAAAAUAGUUGCAAGCAUGAAGCCCCGAAAUCGUUUUAUUUAACUUAACUUCUUACGUAAGUUUCUUCGUGCCUGUCGGUUGCAAGCAGAUAAUACGAACCGGAGCAGGUUUCCUUUAAUUAUACAGUGAGGUCACGCAGCCAGCUGUAACCUGACUUCUUUUCCUGAAAUCCCCUCUAAGCAACCCCCAUCAGCCUGACGGGUGUCGGCCCCCCAACCAGCUCCCAAACAACACAAACACAUAUUCUAUCCUGUAAUUGCCCACACGGGCUGACGCAGCUUAUUUACACCCUCUGUGCCUCAACUUAUGAUUACAGGCCGUUCCCCGCCCGUCUUAAAGCCUCUUUUCUGCCAUAAAGCGUCCCGGAGACAUUCCCAUCGUGUCCACCUCGCCUUCCAGGCAGGCCAGCGCUGUUGUUUAGGUCUAAGAUUUCGGGUCCAAAGGGGGUUAAGUGGCGGCUCUGCUGGCCUCCCUAAUGGACACCAGGAGAACAAAGCUCUGAGCGCCUCGAGGGCCGACGGGGAAACACAGCCGACAUCCAGGUGCUCACAAAAACACAGAGCUCUGCAGCAAACCCAUAAUCUCUGCUACCAUUAGCAUAAUACACUCAGAUCUCAGCCAGAAGGUCAGCUGGUGCAGUGCAUCCUGGGAAGGUUUUGUUAAGAAAGAGGAACGUUUUAAAUGGAGGUUUAUACGUGUCUGUCCAACACAAAUUGGGCUUCUCUUCUGAGCAGCCCACCUUUUUGGGGCAGUCUGGGGCCCCGGAAGUUGCUAAUAAUCGAUAAUAAUAAUGUUUGCAACAUUAGUAGACAUUGUAUUUGCUCGGUGAAGAAAUAAAGGCGUCUCGCCCUCUUGCCAUAGUUGUUGAAUGGUAAACAUGUGUAAUUUCUCUUUUAUGGUCCAUCCACUGAAAGCGCUUCAACACUACAUGACAUCGUUCACUCAUGAUGACGAUGACGGUGGAUCCUACCGGGCCAGCGACCCACCACUAGGGCACGUUCACACGGACUCACAUGCACUAACAUGCACGCUCACAUGCACUAACAUGCACGCUAACACACACUCACAUGCACGCUCACACGCACUCACAUGCACGCUCACACGCACUAACAUGCACGCUAACACACAAUCACCUGCACUAACAUGCACGCUAACACACACUCACAUGCACGCUCACACGCACUCACAUGCACGCUAACACACACUCACAUGCACUAACAUGCACGCUCACACGCACUCACAUGCACUAACAUGCACGCUCACAUGCACUAACAUGCACGCUAACACACACUAACAUACACGCUCACACGCACUAACAUGCACUAACAUGCACGCUCACACGCACUCACAUGCACUAACAUGCACGCUCACACGCACUCACACGCACUCACAUGCACGCUCACACGCACUCACAUGCACUCACAUGCACUAACAUGCACGCUCACACGCACUCAUAUACACGCUAACACACACUCACAUGCACUAACAUACACGCUCACACGCACUAACAUGCACUAACAUGCACGCUCACACACACUCACACGCACUAACAUGCACGCUCACACGCACUCACAUGCACUAACAUACACAACUCCUGCUGCUCUGGCGGUUUUCUGUCACGCUCACACAUGGAGCCGUCCUGCAGCCGCCUCAAUGAGCUCCAGUCAUCUUCUGAUGGAGGAGGCCUUGUUACUGGAGUAACCGCACCAGACACAGACACUAAAGCCCCCGUUUUCAUUGAAAUCCUGUCUUUAAAUGAAAUGAAACAUUUUAUGAUGCGGUGCCAGAUGAAGACUUGGGUGUUAAAAGUUUAUUGCCCUUAAAAAAGAAGAGUGAAUUAACUGUGAAUCCAAUUGUACUUUGAUUAAAGCCAUAUGGUGGAGCCAAUGUCUUCACACUGUCCUCUGCUCACUGAGACAAAUGGCCUGAUCAAGGGGACCUACCUUUCCUCCAAGGAGCCAGGAGGGAGAAGGACUUCUGCCAGCUGAUGACCAGCCCAGGCUUCUUCCUCUUCACGCUCAUCCUCCCGCAACAAUCCCCGAGGUUGAGGCCAAAGCAAGUGAAGGAAAAAGCAGCGGCUCCUGCUCACAGAUUCCGCAUCCCGUUUCUCCACAGGGUCCCCGUGGGUUCUGCUGAAAAGCCGCCCGCUGACGGGCAGCAGAGCGGGACCAUGAUCCCGGGUCUCCUCGCCUGAAGGAUCGUGGUCGCGGGGACGUGUAGCGCAGCGCGGAGAGGUCGCGGUGGGGGCGGGGCGCGGCGCGGUGGGGGCGGGGACCGCGAGGAAAGGGGAAGGAGUCACGGGGCGAGCGGUCCGCCCCGGUGCAGCAUCCCGUCUGCCUUCACAACAUUCACCUCAGCAUCUCAUUGGUGCUGAUACGCGUGGGGAAACCACGCGUGUCGCAAGCACUUUGGAUUGAGUCAUUUCUUCUUUACAAAUCUAUUUUGUGCGAUUUUCCCCGAAACAUUUAACGCUUGAGCGUAGUUUGAGAAUGUUUGACUGUCCUGGCGCUUCGGACCACACAGCGGGGUCUCCAGGGGAUGGAGCUUGUUCUGUGACAAUGGUUGUGUCGCAAUGGCAGUGGGCUUCAUGGAGCACAAAACAAAGUGGAGGAGAAACUGAUGCCACAUUACAGCGAAUUAAUUAAGCUGCACCGAUUAAUGAUGUUUGAAUACAAAAACCUUCAAAACAGUUCAAAUGUUGUGCAAAAAAUGUAAAAUAACCAAGAAUAUACACAAAUGACUGGUGUGAAACAUGUUUUCUUUUGCUCGCUAUAACAAUGAUCUAUAAAAUGUAUUUUUGAUAUUAUUUAAACACAGCUUUUAAAGGGAACAAUUUCCUCAAUUCUUUUUUUCUUAUUCUAAGCAUAAGAGCCAAAUAUCAACUGUACACUAGAAACACUGAGAAAGCGAACAUCGUGCUUCCUGCCAAAUCCCCGCUAGAAAUACAAGCUGCGCUGAGCGUUUAUCAGCCUUCUCUCUGUCUCUGUCUCUCUGUCUCUGUCUCUCUGUCUCUGUCUCUCUGUCUCCGCCAGAUGUGGGAGGCAUUGACGAACCGUAUCAUUGAUUCUUUGGAGAUUCUUGAGAGAGGAGGGGAAAGCAACGCUGUCUUUCCUUAACUCCCACAAGCCAGGAAAUAUGCAUCAGAUGAUGUAAUAAAUGUCACGCUAAUGUUAUUAUUACAAACCUGAAAAAAACGUGUGUCUGAACAUCUGUCUUCCACCAGCAGACUGUAUCGUAUUUCUACAAGUUGUUAUUUCAAUAUCAAAUUCUUUCCAUAUAUUGUUGGAAACUUUAUCACCUUGUUUUCCUUCCCCAGCUAACGAAACGGUCACGGGAUCAAGGCCUGACCCAGUGUCAUGGAACCCAAACACCAUACCCGUCUGCCUCGUGACCUCACUCCUCAGCUAACUUUAGUCAUACAGAUUAGCUUCUUCUGGAGGAAAGUAAAGCUAAGUAAAGAAAGUAAAGCUAAAGCGGGUUAACAGUUGGCCACACACUGUUCUAGUAGCAGCAGGGGGCGAUGCGCGCAGCUCCGGCACCGCGCACAUAGGAGCCAUCAGGCGCGAGCGGACUGACUACUACCCCCCAUCCCAGCUGGGCACGUGGUAAGAUGCAGUGUGUGCUUAAGACAUCAGUAUGAUAACAGCCUCUGCAUGUUAUAUCACCUCAUUUUAUUUUGUAUUGUGGCAGCAGAAUUAAGCACAUUAAAUCAAUAAAUGGGGGGAAAACAAGUGCUGAAAAAAUAAAUAGUGAAAAAUGUCUUGCUCAGCACGUUGGGGGUCAUUUGAGAUAUUGUGUUAUUAUAUACAUCAAUAACCACAUUAAAUUAAUAGUGAUACAUUAAGCUGAAUCACGUUUAGCAUAUGAGGUUUUAUUUAUAUCUGGGUUUCAGACUCAUAAUAACUAAAUAAUCGUUGAUAACACAUUUGCACAUGACUCCUUUAACAGGCCUCCGGGCCUGAGGAAUGAAGUGAACAGGUUUCAAAGACCCCUCGAAUGAAUUCAUCUAGUUCAGCUGUGAUAAAAGCUGCGCGGCUUCUAGAUGACAGAGCUUCAUGUCUCUGUGCAUCCCGUGUGCACCGGGAUGCAGACGUGGUGCCGAAUGAGGCGACGGUGAGCGCGUCACAGUAACAGGGAGGACAUACGAGCGCGUUGCGGUCACAUUAUCUCUCGAUUGCAGGCAAUGACAUCAGAAGUCGUCGUUGGUCUGGUUGUGUGAAACUCUCACAGACUGUUACUAAUGUGUUUACAGAACGAAAUGAAUUUAUUCUGCACACGGCUUGUACAGAAGCUACAAAGCAGUCCGUGAAUAUGAGAUAUGACUUGAAAGAUACUUACAUUCCCACCUCGGCAUUUUGGAGAUCGGUUAUGGCUUUUUUCUGGUUAAACGCGUCGUUUUGGGGAUUUUCAGAGUUAAUUUAGUUUGUAUGUCUUCGGCGGUUUCAGAGAAACAGCGCUUAGGGCAUCGGAGUGUUCAAUUCAAUCGCUUUCCAUACAGCAAAUAUUCCCCAACAUCACAGCCAUGUCUAACUAACUAUGAGUAGGUCCCA